GGGUGCAGGGGCAUCAUUUUGGGCUUUGCCUGCUCUCACACCCUGCUGGGAUUUUCUUUUACCACACCAUCAUGGGUAGUGCCUACCACUGGGAGGCCCGGCGUCGGCAGAUGGCAUUGGAACGGAGGAAGGCGCUGAUGGCACAGCAGCAACAAGAGCAGAAUGCAAAAAAGCAGGAAGAGAAGAAACAGCAUUUUGAGAAAACAUCUCAGCCACACCAAGAUUCAAAAGGACCCCAACAGGACUCAAAAGGACCCCAACAGGAUUCAAAAGGGCCACCACCUGCACAGCCAGAACAACAAGCACAGCCACAGGAGAAGGCACAAGGACAGCCACAGCCGCCUGGGCCAAAGUCACAAAAGGAGCAAGACCCACCUACACAGAGCAUCUUCAAGGAUAGUCUCCAGAAGGACACUCAAAGGCAAGGACUACAGACUAAACCAGCCGGAGCUCAACAAGAUGGCCAGCAAUCCUGUAAAGUGUGCGAUAAACCCCCCAUCCUUCCAGGCCGCUUCAACUAAUUACAUCCAGCAGUGGUGAUCCAGAGAUGGACUCCAAGACCUGAUGAAAGUGAAAAUAAAAACAAAACCCAAAAAUCAACCAAACAAAAAACCCAAGCACCACCAAACAAACAAAAAAACCAGACAGCAACCACACUUUCUUUCCACCCAGCAAUCUUUCAAAUCCAAAAAGCCAGCUGCAUUUGGAAAGGAGGCUAGCUGGAAUUAAAAUGUAAUUCCUGGAA
rnacentral:lncRNA from 1 species